rnacentral:rRNA from 1 species
ACGGGUGAGUAACACGUAGGUAACCUGCCUAUGAGACUGGGAUAACUAUCGGAAACGAUAGCUAAGACCGGAUAACUGGUUUUCUCGCAUGAGAGAAUCAUGAAACACGGAGCAAUCUGUGGCUUAUAGAUGGGCCUGCGGCGCAUUAGCUAGUUGGUAGGGUAAUGGCCUACCAAGGCGACGAUGCGUAGCCGACCUGAGAGGGUGACCGGCCACACUGGGACUGAGACACGGCCCAGACUCCUACGGGAGGCAGCAGUAGGGAAUCUUCCGCAAUGGACGCAAGUCUGACGGAGCAACGCCGCGUGAGUGAUGAAGGUUUUCGGAUCGUAAAGCUCUGUUGCCCUAGACGAACAGCAUGAGGAGUAACUGCCUUAUGUGUGACGGUAUAGGAGAAGAAAGCCCCGGCUAACUACGUGCCAGCAGCCGCGGUAAUACGUAGGGGGCAAGCGUUGUCCGGAAUUAUUGGGCGUAAAGCGCGCGCAGGCGGUCAAUUAAGUUGGGUGUUUAAGCCCGGGGCUCAACCCCGGUUCGCAUCCAAAACUGGUUGACUUGAGUGUAGGAGAGGAAAGUGGAAUUCCACGUGUA